UGGGGAAUUUUGGACAAUGGGCGCAAGCCUGAUCCAGCCAUGCCGCGUGCAGGAUGAAGGCCUUCGGGUUGUAAACUGCUUUUGUACGGAACGAAAAGGUUUGGCCUAAUACGCUGAACUCAUGACGGUACCGUAAGAAUAAGCACCGGCUAACUACGUGCCAGCAGCCGCGGUAAUACGUAGGGUGCGAGCGUUAAUCGGAAUUACUGGGCGUAAAGCGUGCGCAGGCGGUUAUGUAAGACAGAUGUGAAAUCCCCGGGCUCAACCUGGGAACUGCAUUAGUGACUGCAUAGCUGGAGUACGGCAGAGGGGGAUGGAAUUCCGCGUGUAGCAGUGAAAUGCGUAGAUAUGCGGAGGAACACCGAUGGCGAAGGCAAUCCCCUGGGCCUGUACUGACGCU
rnacentral:rRNA from 1 species